AUGAACGCUGGCGGCGUGCUUAACACCUGCAAGUCGAACGGAAAGGCCCAAGCUUGCUUGGGUACUCGAGUGGCGAACGGGUGAGUAACACGUGGGUGAUCUGCCCUGCACUUCGGGAUAAGCCUGGGAAACUGGGUCUAAUACCGGAUAGGACGAUGGUUUGGAUGCCAUUGUGGAAAGUUUUUUCGGUGUGGGAUGAGCUCGCGGCCUAUCAGCUUGUUGGUGGGGUAAUGGCCUACCAAGGCGUCGACGGGUAGCCGGCCUGAGAGGGUGUACGGCCACAUUGGGACUGAGAUACGGCCCAGACUCCUACGGGAGGCAGCAGUGGGGAAUAUUGCACAAUGGGCGCAAGCCUGAUGCAGCGACGCCGCGUGGGGGAUGACGGCCUUCGGGUUGUAAACUCCUUUCGCUAGGGACGAAGCGUUUUGUGACGGUACCUGGAGAAGAAGCACCGGCUAACUACGUG
rnacentral:rRNA from 1 species